rnacentral:rRNA from 1 species
UAACACGUAGGGAANCUGCCUGCAUGAGCGGGAGAACUUCUGGAAACGGAAGCUGAUACCGGAUGAGCAAAGAGGAGGCAUCUUCUUUUUGGAAAAGGGGACAAGAGUCCCGCAUGCAGAUGGACCUGCGGUGCAUUAGCUGGUUGGAGAGGUAACGGCUCACCAAGGCGACGAUGCAUAGCCGGCCUGAGAGGGCGGACGGCCACACUGGGACUGAGACACGGCCCAGACUCCUGCGGGAGGCAGCAGUAGGGAAUUUUCGUCAAUGGGGGGAACCCUGAACGAGCAAUGCCGCGUGAGCGAGGAAGGUCUUCGGAUCGUAAAGCUCUGUUGCCGGGGACAAAAGGCAGAAAGAGUGGAAAGCUUUCUGAGUGAUGGUACCCGGCGAGGAAGUCACGGCUAACUACGUGCCAGCAGCCGCGGUAAUACGUAGGUGGCGAGCGUUAUCCGGAAUGAUUGGGCGUAAAGGGUGCGCAGGCGGCCGGGCAAGUCCGCAGUAAAAACUGGAGGCUCAACCUUCAGGGGCUGCGGAAACUGUCCGGCUGGAGAGCAGGAGAGGACGGUGGAACUCCAUGUGUAGCGGUAAAAUGCGUAGAUAUAUGGAAGAACACCGGUGGCGAAGGCGGCCGUCUGGCCUGCAUCUGACGCUGAGGCACGAAAGCGUGGGGAGCAAAUAGGAUUAGAUACCCUAGU